UCAAGACAGAAGAAAGCUUGUUCUUUAUGUUUUUGAUUGUUGCUCAGAAAGCCGUGACGUUGAAGCAGGCUUUCGAGCAAUAAUCACAAUCAGAAAGGAGCAAGGAAACACCAGACAUCAA
rnacentral:pre_miRNA from 12 species